CGGACUUCGGUCUGGUGGCGAGUGGCGAACGGGUGAGUAAUGUAUCGGAACGUGCCCAGUAGCGGGGGAUAACUACGCGAAAGCGUAGCUAAUACCGCAUACGCCCUACGGGGGAAAGCAGGGGAUCGCAAGACCUUGCACUAUUGGAGCGGCCGAUAUCGGAUUAGCUAGUUGGUGGGGUAACGGCUCACCAAGGCGACGAUCCGUAGCUGGUUUGAGAGGACGACCAGCCACACUGGGACUGAGACACGGCCCAGACUCCUACGGGAGGCAGCAGUGGGGAAUUUUGGACAAUGGGGGAAACCCUGAUCCAGCCAUCCCGCGUGUGCGAUGAAGGCCUUCGGGUUGUAAAGCACUUUUGGCAGGAAAGAAACGUCGCGGGUUAAUACCCCGCGGAACCGACGGUACCUGCAGAAUAAGCACCGGCUAACUACGUGCCAGCAGCCGCGGUAAUACGUAGGGUGCAAGCGUUAAUCGGAAUUACUGGGCGUAAAGCGUGCGCAGGCGGUUCGGAAAGAAAGAUGUGAAAUCCCAGAGCUUAACUUUGGAACUGCAUUUUUAACUACCGGGCUAGAGUGUGUCAGAGGGAGGUGGAUUCCGCGUGUAGCAGUGAAAUGCGUAGAUAUGCGGAGGAACACCGAUGGCGAAGGCAGCCUCCUGGGAUAACACUGACGCUCAUGCACGAA
rnacentral:rRNA from 1 species